rnacentral:rRNA from 1 species
CGGACGGGUGAGUAACACGUGGAUAACCUACCUAUAAGACUGGGAUAACUUCGGGAAACCGGAGCUAAUACCGGAUAAUAUAUUGAACCGCAUGGUUCAAUGGUGAAAGACGGUUUUGCUGUCACUUAUAGAUGGAUCCGCGCCGCACUAGCUAGUUGGUAAGGUAACGGCUUACCAAGGCAACGAUGCAUAGCCGACCUGAGAGGGUGAUCGGCCACACUGGAACUGAGACACGGUCCAGACUCCUACGGGAGGCAGCAGGU